UACGUAGGGGGCUAGCGUUGCUCGGAAUCACUGGGCGUAAAGCGCACGUAGGCGGACUCUUAAGUCGGUGGUGAAAUCCUGGAGCUCAACUCCAGAACUGCCUUCGAUACUGAGAGUCUCGAGUCCGGGAGAGGUGAGUGGAACUGCGAGUGUAGAGGUGAAAUUCGUAGAGAUGUGGAGGAACACCGAUGGCGAAGGCAGCCCCCUGGGUUAACACUGACGCUCAGGCACGAAAGCGUGGGGAGCAAACAGG
rnacentral:rRNA from 1 species